CGGGGGGGGCAAGCGUUGUUCGGAAUCAUUGGGCGUAAAGGGCGCGUAGGCGGUGCCGUAAGUCUGGUGUGAAAUCCCCGAGCUUAACUCGGGUCCCGCGCCAGAGACUGCGGUGCUCGAGUGUGGGAGAGGAGAGUGGAAUUCCCGGUGUAGCGGUGAAAUGCGUAGAUAUCGGGGGGAACACCCGUGGCGAAGGCGGCUCUCUGGACCACUACUGACGCUGAGGCGCGAAAGCCGGGGGAGCAAACAGGAUUAGAUACCCUGGUAGUCCCGGCCCUAAACGAUGAACACUUGGGGUGGCGGGUCUCAACCCCCGCUGUCCCGGAGCUAACGCGUUAAGUGUUCCGCCUGGGGAGUACGGUCGCAAGGCUG
rnacentral:rRNA from 1 species